GAUGAACGCUGGCGGCGUGCUUAACACAUGCAAGUCGAACGAUGAAGCCCAGCUUGCUGGGUGGUUUAGUGGCGAACGGGUGAGUAACACGUGAGUAACCUGCCCUUGACUCUAGGAUAAGCCCGGGAAACUGGGUCUAAUACUGGAUAGGAACGUCUACCGCAUGGUGGGUGUUGGAAAGAAUUUCGGUCAUGGAUGGACUCGCGGCCUAUCAGCUUGUUGGUGAGGUAAUGGCUCACCAAGGCGACGACGGGUAGCCGGCCUGAGAGGGUGACCGGCCACACUGGGACUGAGACACGGCCCAGACUCCUACGGGAGGCAGCAGUGGGGAAUAUUGCACAAUGGGCGAAAGCCUGAUGCAGCGACGCCGCGUGAGGGAUGACGGCCUUCGGGUUGUAAACCUCUUUCAGUAGGGAAGAAGCGAAAGUGACGGUACCUGCAGAAGAAGCACCGGCUAACUACGUG
rnacentral:rRNA from 1 species